UGUAUAGGUGGUGUCAUGUGUAUUAAGGAUACUGAUAAAUACAACUAAAUUACAAAUAACAUAUUUUUUUAUUAUUCUUGUAAUAUUUUUGAUUGACACAAUGAUACUAUACUCUAAUAAACGAUUCUAUAACAAAAAAAAUUAACGGUUGUUUAAGUAUUAAAAUAAUUUACUAAUUUGAAGUGAUGACAUUGAAGAAAAUCCCCAAAAUGACAACAAAAUUACAAAUAUCCUCAGAAUUAAACGACAGCAUCAGUAAUGUUUUAGGUAAAAAUGUGAAAAUACUUUAUAAAUCUUUGAUUCGCAUGGAAUCUAGAGGAGACAAAGUUGAUAACAGAGUUUUGGUGGUCACAUCAUAUAGAAUUUUUAUAACUACAACAAAAGUUCCAACAAGGAUUGACAAUGGAUUUCACUUAAUGGAAAUAGAGGCCUUGGAGAGCAAAAAGGCAAAUCACUUAUCAAUAACACUUAUUCAUGAGCACAAACCUGUAUCUAUUCUUAUUGGUGAGGAAGGCUCGCCCGAUGGUGUUAUAAAUGCAAUACACGCACUCACGGCGGCGUUUGACGACUUAUUUCCUAAUGUGGCAAUGGAAGACAUUAUUUCCAAGGUCAAUUUGCCAUUUCCGUUGCAUCCGGUGAGUGGUACUCGGAAACAUUCGACUUGUGGUGAUUUCUCUAAUCAAUAUGCAGCCAUGUGUGACCUAUGCCAGACACCUUUUAGAGCCGAAGUCGCAUGGGAUAUAGAUACGAUAUAUUUGGCACACGACAUACGAUUGUUACAUCUAAAGGAUUUCGAUCAUUUAGAUCAAAGAGAUUUAAUACCACUACUAAUAGCGUUGCAACACAACACAUGGUUUACUGGUGUGUGUGGGGAUGGUGUAAGGGUGGGGAGCGAGACGUGGGAGGCCUUAUCUCGUGUCCUGAGAUGUGCAGCGCCCCCACCCCAGCAGCUUAGCUGGAGGGGCGCCACGCUAAGGCACGAUCAUGCAGCGCGGCUGGGGCACGCCCUAGCGAGGGCUAAGACGCCCCCAGCUAUGCAUACGAUCGAUCUAUCGCAGAAUCAUAUUGAAGAUAAAGGUGCAAUAAGUGUUUUAACAGGACUAGCGAACAAUCCAGACGGGAUACGUCACAUAGCAUUAUCCCAAUGCGGUGUUACGGGCAAGAGCGUUGCCCAUCUUGCUCAACUGCUCAACGACAACCCUUGCCAUCUUAAUACGCUGUCGCAUCUUGAUCUCUCCCAUAACAACCUUAAGGACGAUGUUCAUCAUCUCUACAACUUCUUGGCUCAACCAAACGUACUGACACAUUUGAACUUGGUCAAUACGGAAACCACUCUAGAAAAUAUGUGGGGUGCUCUAUUGCGCGGUUGCGCGGCGAGGCUUUCUUCCUUGUACGUAGGGCGAAACCCCUGGGCUGCGGGGCGAAGGCCAAGGGACCCGCCGCCUUCUUUCAGACAAUUCUUCACAGCUUGCCUCGCUUUGACUGAUCUCGACUUUUCAUAUUGCAAAAUGCCUCCCGAUGCUUUGAAGAGCCUCUUAUUAGGCCUAGCAUGCAACGAAAGCGCAGCGGGCGUAAAACUAAACGUGUCUGGCGCACUCGCGUCGUCACAAGCCGCUCACGUACUUGAGUCUUGUAUACACGGAGUUCGGUGUCUUCGUUCGCUUGACCUGUCUGAUAAUAGUAUGGAGUUUGAACUAUCAGGCAUAGUGAGAGCUAUUGGCAAAAAUCAUUCCAUAACACAUUUAUCAUUAAGUAAGCUUACGGGGAAAAGGUCGUACGCGCCACCUUUAAUACAGGCUUUAGUACACGUUCUACAGGAACCGGAUACAGCUUUAACGUCCUUAGAUCUGAGUGAUUGUAAACUUAAGGGGGAUUUAUAUGGACUUCUGAAUGCUUUGGGCGGGGCUAGACGACUUCGCACGUUAGACGUUGGUGGGAACUUAGCUGGCGACGCCGGAGCUAGGCUAUUGGCCAAAGCUCUGCAGUGCAAUUGUACUCUUCACACGCUGUAUAUAGAUAGAAACGCGUUUAGUUUACAGGGAUUAACGGAUAUAUCAACAGCAUUACGUCGUUCUGUGAGCGUUCGUCGCGUUGAGUUUCCCGCAAGUGACGCAGCGGCCGGCGGACGUGGCGCUAGCGAGCGCGUCGCCGCUUUAUGGAGGGAUUUGCACGAACGGCUCUCAAGCAACACGACAGCCUCCCAAACACACCGAUUACGCGCGUUAGCCUUAGAGCGCGCGUGGUGUGGGGGUGAAGCGGCAGCUGCUUUGGCGGCGGCUGCUGCGGGCGCUUUGCCCCCCGCCCCACUUCCACAGGCCGUGGAGAGGGCGGCUGCGGCUGCUCAUCAUUUGCUGCACCAAUAUCUUCAGCGUUGCGGCGAAGUGUUCGCGGCAAUGGGUGGAUCGGGUUGUGCGAGCGAGCUCGUGUCAUUACAAGCUGUAAGAGAUGCGAUCGCUCCGUCUUCUAAUACCCUACAAGAUUUGCUCAAUGAGGCAGUAGAGAACCUAGCCUUAGCUGCGUGCGAGAGCGUGGAAAGUGCCGACAGCGAACACGCGCACGCUGAUCCAGAUAUACCGGACUUACUCACGCCUAUAUCGCAUUCUGGGAAAUUGGAUUAUUUGAACUUGGCCACACCCCUCGGAUGUCGCCGGCGAGAGCGCGGUGGUCGACGCGUGCGUCCCAAGUCCGUGGCGGAACAGCAAUGCAGUAGUAAUGAGAUGCUAUCUCUGCCACCCUUGCACGCUGAAGCAGCCGAUGCACUCGCCGAUCUACCUGCGCAUACGCUGAGGCAUCUUGUUAAAGGACGACCUAGACGAGUUAAAACCAGAGCUCCAACACGACCGAUAACAGACCAAUCACAAGAUAUUGAUGAAGGUCUAGAGGAAUUCUGGCGUACAUGCCGUACGCCGCCCGGUAGUGAGGACGUAUCCUCAAUGUCUGCCCGUACGGCGCUGACGUCACGCUCUCUACACUCUCUGUCCUCGCUUGCUUCUGCCUCGCCCGCUUCCCCUGCCUCGCCUUCCGCCCACAGGCACUCACCUACACUACGGGAUGAUACUAUGUACAGUGGUACGUCUGGUGAAAGCACACCUGUAUUACUAGAUUGCGAGGUAUCGCGCUGUAAAUCAACUGAUAACGUUGGUACUAAGCCGAGUGCGUCCACGCCGCCGCCCUCGAGAUCCUCCGAUGACGUCAACGCUAUGGGCAACGGGUGCGCCCGCGCAACUGGCAAAGCGCGGCCGUGGUCCGUGGCAGGCGUCAACGCGGACAACGCCGCCUGCACCACAGAGGGCGUGGAGGCGUGCGUCGGCGGAAGCAUCGUGGGCAUCACGCCGGGCGCCGCACUAACCAGUAACCAACUUUCUGACGCUAUCCUAUACUGAGCUAUCGCUAGCUAGCAACAAUAGGUUCAAUGCUGCGAGAUCACCCUCUCACACCAGAAGGCGACGCCUGAGAUUAAGCUAAUAAUGCGCAGGAUUGUUCAAGCAGGGUUCGGUACGCAAAGUAUUGAUGCUCACGGAUGUGCCACAUAUUAUAGACAUAGUCGCGUAGUCACACUAGUGCAGGAUAGAUCUCUCACAGUAGAUAGUAAUGUUUUUUAUCUGGCAAUUAUUACGUAAUUAAUGUUCGUAUGUCUUUAAAUAGAAAAGCGCGCUUACUCUGUAACUUACAAUACCGACAACAGUCUCGAUUUCCAUAAGAUAUUGUUCCGUGCGAUCACAAGGUUACGACAGUGCUACAUCGAAUUUUCAUAGAAAUAGGUCGGGAUCGGUAUUGGAAGUUACAGGGUAACAAUCCUAAAUCUACUUCCAAUUCAAGAAUGUCUAAUUUCAGUAUUGACAGGGUUUUUGGUUUGUAUCUAUUGCAUUUGGAAUUGUUAAAUGCUUGUCAAAAUUUGUGUCAAAAAUUUUGUACCAUGUGUUACGACUUAUAUUGUAGUCGGUAUAUAGAUAUGUUUGAUGAUAAUUGUCAGGUUUCAGCUAAUUCGGACAAUAAGUUAUAUUGGGCCGAGAGUUCAAUUAUUAUUUCAGAUUUAAAAAGCCGUUGAUCAAGUCUUGACGAGUAAGAAAUCUUCUUAAAGUAAUAUAAGGUUUCCAUAUAGUGCAAAAGAACGGGAUAAAAUACAUUUGUGAAUACGACAUUGUUUUAACAAUUAUGGCUAUACGCACAUAGAAUUAUUGUACGCAGGUCGAAAGCGCUACAGUAUAUCACCGCGGUAUUGUACUAUUUAUCAAUUGUCAAUUGAAAAGUGCUACUAAACUGUGGCCCAUAAUGCCGUAGCGUUUUUCGUGCGUCAAAGGACGUCUAGCUAGGCAUAUAUUUUUUUUAAAGAGUAUCAAUUGUACGCUACGACUUUAAAGAACUUGCUUUAAGUAUUUCACGGUUUUCUAUGCAUUAAAAUAAAAUUAGAGUAAAAUAAACAUGUUCAAAAUAUUUCGUGUAGUGAUUUACCAUGGAGUAUUACCGAAUAAAAUUAAUUUAUAUUGACAUAAUAAAAUCGAUUAUACUUAGAUGUAAGGAUAUUUAAUUCAAAUAAUCGUUUCAUGUAACCUGUGAUUUGUUUAGCGUUAUUUUCAUUUAUAUAGUGAAUUAUAGUAAUCUUAUGUUAUUGCGUAGUGCACGAACUUCACACUCUAUUUACUGUUAUAUAGUUAAAAGACGUUUUCUAAUUUAGAAAAUGAACGAAUUUGCGCGUUUAGCUUGUACAUGCGCGACUGUCGCCUCACUGCCGUAGAAGUAAAAAAUUACAAUGUUAUCAAACUAACAAAAAAUGCAAUGAUACUUGUACAAGCUAAUUUUACAAUUUGACGAGAUUAUUUAUUGCAAUUGGUCUUUCCUAGUCAUGUUAUAAAGGCCUAUAAAUUACGCACAAUUAGUUUUUUUUUUAUAUUUUUAAUUCUUCCAAUUUAUACAUUCCGUAUAUAAUGUAAAUAUUUAACGUUUGAGAUUCAUGAACGAGUGUGAUUUUAAAAUAAAAGUUCAAAAAGUCAUGUUCAAUUUUACAGUAAUUAAUAGACUAGAGAACACCCCAUACAGUUAAGUGUUCAUUAGUGUAACUAUUUUAUACAAUUAAUCUUCGUUUAUGAUUGGAAAUAAAAUGAUUUACCUAAACAGAUAUUGGUAUAUUCGAUUCCUUAUACUGUCCUCGUGAAAAUUUAACAACAUUCUUAUUGUUAGUAGUAAAUCGCAAUUCCAAAAAAAUGUUUCGC